GUCUCCCACUUUCUAGUCCAGCACUUUUACCACUACAACAAGCUGGUUCCUGAAGUAUCAAUACAAGUACUUCCAUGUAUUAAAUUGUUCUAAGUAGGAAAGCAACAAAUUUCCUCAAGUAUGUAUGUAUCUACUCAAUUGCAAUGCAAAUUAUACCAGCUGCAAUUACCUAUUGAGAAGUCCUGUCUGGUCUUUUCUAUUCUGACACAAUAGCUAUUAUUUUAUAACAUGACCUUCAGACUGAGGAAGGAACAAGGUAGUAAGUAUAUUAAGUAAAGGUAAUUCUAAAGAAUGGAUCAGGAAAAUACUUCUGUAUGUACUAAAGUACACAGGAUAUGACAUUCUUCUUUUGAAAACAUAGAAACAAAUAUCUAAUAUUGCAAUUUUAAGCAACAUUGUAAAUACCUAGAGGUUUUAACUACAGCUUAAUUGUGUCGUCCAUCUUGGUGACAGUUUGGCACCUUUUACAAACAAAAUGUACUAAAUACAGCUUUUUUUCUAAUACUGCAUAAUAGCAUAAAAUGUUAACAUUCAAAUUUUAUACUUCUCAAAGGAAAGCAUUUAAUAUCUUCAGAUUUUUAAAAGAAAAUAUUCACUAAAGUUCUGCAGGAGGAAGUUAUUUACAUUUAGUCAUAUUUCAGAUAUAAAUCACCAAAUGAAUUUUUUCUAAAAUCAACUUAUGAUCAGUGCUCUUAUCAAAUAGUUCCAGAUAUCUAUACAUUAAGCUUCCUGAACUUUCUACUCUUUCUACCUAGUUAAGCCAUUCUCUCUUUCUAUAAUAUUUCCUUUUCAGAAGAGCUUAUUAUCCAGAGCCCUUACCAAGAUAUAUCAAGUUUUAGUAAAGAGGUCAUUCUAAAACAACUGCCAAGAAUAUUGAUAACAACACUGCGAAUUUACUGUAUUCCACAAAGUCAAAGAGAAAUAGAAGAUAUAUCCAUCCUGUGACCCAUUCCACUCAUAAAAAUCCAGUCCUA